UAACGAAUCUUGGGCAAUGGGCGAAAGCCUGACCCAGCGACGCCGCGUGCAGGAGGAAGCCCUUCGGGGUGUAAACUGCUGUCAGGGGUUAGCAAGCGAAGAAACCUAAUACGUUUCCGAGUUGAGCAGCCCCAAAGGAAGCACCGGCUAACUCCGUGCCAGCAGCCGCGGUAAUACGGAGGGUGCAAGUGUUGUUCGGAAUCACUGGGCGUAAAGGGCGCGCAGGCGGUUUGAUAAGUCAGAGGUGAAAUUUCACAGCUUGACUGUGAAUGUGCUUUUGAUACUGUCGGUCUAGAGUUCAGAAGAGGGCAAUGGAAUUCUUGGUGUAGCGGUAAAAUGCAUAGAUAUCAAGAAGAACACCAGUUGCGAAGGCGGUUGCCUGGUCUGUAACUGACGCUCAAGCACGAAAGCGUGGGGAUCAAACA
rnacentral:rRNA from 1 species